rnacentral:rRNA from 1 species
CUACGUGCCAGCAGCCGCGGUAAUACGGAGGGUGCGAGCGUUAAUCGGAAUAACUGGGCGUAAAGGGCACGCAGGCGGUGACUUAAGUGAGGUGUGAAAGCCCCGGGCUUAACCUGGGAAUUGCAUUUCAUACUGGGUCGCUAGAGUACUUUAGGGAGGGGUAGAAUUCCACGUGUAGCGGUGAAAUGCGUAGAGAUGUGGAGGAAUACCGAAGGCGAAGGCAGCCCCUUGGGAAUGUACUGACGCUCAUGUGCGAAAGCGUGGGGAGCAAACAGGAUUAGAUACCCUGGUAGUCCACGCUGUAAACGAUGUCGAUUUGGGGGUUGAACUUUAGGUUUGGCGCCCGUAGCUAACGUGAUAAAUCGACCGCCUGGGGAGUACGGCCGCAAGGUUAAAACUCAAAUGAAUUGACGGGGGCCCGCACAAGCGGUGGAGCAUGUGGUUUAAUUCGAUGCAACGCGAAGAACCUUACCUACUCUUGAC